GCCUACGGCCAUGCUACCCUGAAUAAGUCCGAUCUCGUCUGAUCUCGAAAGCUAAGCAGAGUUGGGCUUGGUUAGUACUAAAAUGGGAGACCACGUAGGAAGACCAGGCGUAAAAAAUA
rnacentral:rRNA from 1 species